AUAAUUUGGUUAUUGGCCUUUGGCACAGACCUGUUGGAAUCUCCUCAUCAGCACUGAUGGAGUACAGGAUUAGGAUAAGCAGUUUAAGGGUUUCACCAACCUGUGCUUUAUGAAGUCUACUUUUCUAUGAGGUUGUUUUUUUUUAAUAUAAAAAACAGUGCUGUUUAUUUCAUACAGAAAAACAUCCUAAAGGGAAUUUUUUUUUCACUGUGUUCUUUACAUAAAUGCUACCUACUCUUUCUGUUUGUAGCUAAUGUAUGUAGGGGAAGCUCUUGUUUGCUGGGAAAAGCACAAUAUCAGGAUGCACACUUUGGGCUUGGGGUUUUGGGACACAAUAGGCACAACUGCAAUGGGACUCCAGGUACAAACAUACACAAAUGCUGAUUCCUGGUGUGUUCUUGGGCUUGGUUGGUUUUGUAUAUAUGCAAUAGUCAUAGAAUAAAACAGCAGACACUUUUACAGAAGACCAAGUUUAUGUUCACUGAAUAUAAUUCUCAAAAGCCUGCAUAUUUUUCUCAGCAGGUAAUAAUUGGAUGUAAAUGAUAAAGAUGUAGCAUUGGCUCCUCAGAAAUCCUGUAAUAUUCUGGUCAAAACUUGCAGUGUAACAUACUGUGUGUGUUAAGCUCUGAUAUUUUACUUAUUUAAAAGCAUACUUAUAUACAUAUAUAUAAGCAUAUACUUAUUUAAAAGCAUAUGUGCUGCUAGUCAGGUAAAAGAGAUACUUAAGGAAAAUCAAAAACCUGAUUAAAAUUCUAUAAGGACUUGGUUUUGUAAAGUGAGCUGAGACAUACACACCAUUAAAUAGUCACAAAAAUUGUCAGUACUAAUAAAUAUUCACUUGUUUUGACAUUUUUUUGUAUACAGAAUUGAAAUAAAUAUUUUUUUAACAUCUAAAGCUAUUCGGUUUUAAUUGCAGUAAUUAAUAAGGUGUAAUGACAGAGCUGCUGCCAUGUUAGAAAUUAAGACUUGUGAUACCAAGGGGGUAGAUUUAUUGUAUUGGGACUAACUUUGUUUCUUUUUAAUUGAGGGGAAGUUUUGGGGCUAGAUUAUUGAAAAGUUCUGCUACUUACAGUAUUUGUAGGUUUGUAGGAAGGUUUAUUAACACCUGCUCAUUGCAGGUGGGUUGGACUGGAUGGCCUUUAAAGGCUCCUUCCAUCCCAAACUAUUCUGUGAGUCCUCAGCAGGAUAUUUGCCAUUAAAAUCCCAGUGAAUUUAGGUUCAGAGCACUGCUGAGGGCAGAAUUGGCAGAUAAAUCCUCAGUGUGCUCUGUGCACUUGGUCUCUUCAGGGACAAGAAUUAAAGGCAGUUACCCAGGUGGGUGUUGGACCUUGCUUUUUCUCUGGCCCUGGUCACUGCCUGACCGGUAAGGGUUCUUGAAGCAAAUGUAGCUUUGUAUAAAAUAUUUCAGCAUCUGCAGUUUGAUUGCUUUGUUGUAGGAUUUGUGAAUUCUUCUGAGUUUUUUGUACUUCCUCUAAACUCUGUGAUCAGGUACCAUGUAAGAAAUUCCACUCCCUAAUUAAUCCUAAUCAGCAGACUUGUUAAUAGGCACAUUCUUGAAAUUUAAUGGUUGAACAACCUAACAUAUUGCUGUUAAUAAAUAAGGGUUUCUCACAUCCCAGAAUUAAGAUGUGAUGAAAUAACUGUGUUUAGCUUUUAAAAUUCUUUUCCCUCUUCCAUCUUGUCUUUAAGCACAGGCAAAGUCUGUGGUUUUAUGUCAGUGUGCUGUUUUCCCUGGCAGCACCACUUCUCCUAAAGGGAAAAAAUGGCCCCUAAAAUACCAAGAAAACAGUUUUUAUACAGACAAAUAGGUUGUAGUCACUUUCUCUGGCCAUGCCUUGCUCUGUUUAAUGAUGAUACCCCUAUGUGCCAAGUGUGUAUAUGCUGUUAUAUAAUAACAGAGAGCUGCUGAACCUUUGAAGCUGCUGCUUCUCCCCAGAGCUGCACUCCAGAGGUGUGAGCCUGGAUUUGGCCUGGCACAGUGGACAGCUUGGGAAGGAGUUUGGGUCCAGCUGCCCUCCCUGCUGUUGGGAGGGAUGGGAAUGGGGGUUGCUCUCAUUUUCCCCUCUGAUUCCAUGGCUGAGGAAUUGUGCCCAUUUUGGCUCAGCACUGAGGGACUGUGUGGAUCACACUUCCAAACAACAGCUGGAGAGCAGAUUCUGGUGUUUGUGCUGUGGCUUCUGGAGUGUGCAGACAUGAAGGACAGAAUCAUUGCAUGGGUUUAUUAUAAGCUUCUCAUUGUUCCCUAUAUAAAAAAAAUUAUUUCUUAUUUCUUACCAGAUUUCAGAAGGCAAGAAAAUAUUAACACUUCUGAGCUUUCAGUCAUAGGAGCUAUUUCUGAAGGUGUGUCAAGCUUCCUAGAAGUCUUACAAUAAAUUCAGAUAUCCAUUUAAUCUUUGAGGAGCUGGAAAAAUGGAAGAAAGACAGACAGUUUUUCCACACAAAUCUGAUAUGGUUUGGGCAUUCUCCACUUAAGUGAAAUGAAAUGAACUUCAAUGAAAGCAUCCCUUUGGAGUGAUGUUUGUCAUGCACAUGGAAUACUAAAUUCUGGAAAAGUUCUUGUUUUCCUGUGUACUGAAACUUUGUUUUGCCAAGCUGAACCUUGAUGUCAGUGAGUUCAUUCCAACUCUUGCUAUAAACCAAGCAGGAGUAACACAGGGACACAACAGAGAGUCUCUAUGGUAGUACCUUACUGCAGGUCUUCCUUCUUGGAAACCCUUGGUUGGGAUUUUCCUCACGUUCUGCAUUUCUACUUCAGUGAAUCUGUGGAAAACAUUUAAAUAUGUGGAAUUUCAAAUCCCAUGAAGCUCAGGCCUGUUUUUGUGAAGCAGUGGGGCAGUGUGUGGUCAAGCAUGAGGUGAGCUGUGCUGUGAGGUGAGUGAGCUGCCUUACAUGAAGGAGCUGUAUUUGUUGGACAGGUUCACUCCAGAAUGAUAAAUAUGGAGUUGUUUUUACUUUGCACUUAUAAAAUGUCACCUCUAAUUGAACUUCCAGUACCUUCUGGAACAUCUGGAUGAAGUGACUAGGAAAGGGGAAAGCUGUUAAAUAUGAAUAUGGAGCAGCAUCUGUUGGAGUGCUGCUGGGGAUUUUUUUCUCCACCUGGCUAGUUUUCCAGAGGGUUCAGGUGGGUGGAAUUUCAGCAGCUGUUUUUGUUUUUUGGUCAGUUAAAAAUGCUGAUUUCUGAAAUCAGAUCCAGUCAUGAAAUAGAUCUCCAGUUUGAUGAAGCAAUUGCUUCACCUGCUGGAAAGUUCUUACCAGAGCUGACAGAAUUUUUUUAUUGUUUUGAAGACUGAUGAGCUCUGUCCUUGCCUGACUGCUGCCUCUCACAGCUGGCUUUGGAGAGAUCCUUUUUCUUGCAAACAACUGUUCCCCAUUACAGCUCCUCCCCAUGGCCUUGGAUGGUUGUUUUCUGUCUUGCUCAGACAUUCUAAUGCAAGUCAAGCCUUAGAACAGAAGUCCUCAUCUGUGCAGCAUUUGUCUGUGCAUGGCCACUGAGCAGUUACAAGUUCCUUAAGGAUUGCCUGGAAGGGCUGGGAGUCUGGGGUGUUGGUCUGAAGUGGCCAUGUGGAAUAACAGAAACCAAGUCCCAGCUGGCUGUGGUUUAUGUUCUGAAUCUGGGUGAUAGUACAAGCCAGAGCUUUGCUGAGGGCUGCUGGUGUGGCCCCACAUGAUGUGUUGGAGCACUGGCACAGUCUCUGCUGCCUGGCCCUGUGUGCCCAGAGCAGGUGUGGUGCAGAGCACAUUCAAUGUACUCCAGAGUGUGCUUUAAAGCUUUAGGGAGAUCCUUCUCAAAGAAGUGAGCUAUCUGGGUUAAUGGAUAAAAGGUUUGCUUAAUUUCCCUUAAAUAUAGGCAAAAAAUGUAUGGACUGUAGGAAAUCUGGUGUUUGACUGUUUUGAUACUACUUUUGUUUUCCUCUGGUGCUCAUGAACCAGCCAAAGUAGGAGAAAGGGGUUUUUUUGGUUAAGAGUUUACCCUGGAAUAAUCCCUGGACCAGUUUUAAACUUGCUGCACAAAAUAAAGUGAUUCUGGGGAUGAUCCAUACCAGUGCAAGUACUGUCACAAAAGGACUGCAGCCCAUGGAGCAACAAUGUCAGAGCACAGGAAGAGUGAGAAGGCAGGUGCAGCACAGAGAAGCCACUUUGUACCUGGAACAAAACCUGCCCCAAGAAGCUUCUGGCUGCCCCCUGCCUCACUGAAGGGACUGACUGACAAUUGCUGUGGCAACAAGGGAGCAGAGCAGGGCCUGGAGUGAGUUGACCCUGCGAAACUUGGAGGAAAGGAAAGCCACAGCUCCUCCCCAGAGGUUCUCACCUGAAAAGAGGCUGCAGAUGAGUGAUGGAGGAGCUGGUGAGCACGGUGAGGUGAGGCUCAUAAACGAGACCCCAGUGUGGAAUCAGCUAAAUGCACUCAGGAAAUGGGGCCAUCACCUGAGCCCCUGGGUGUUUGUUCCUGUGACUGUGAGCAGCAGCUGCAGCUCCCAGCCCUUUGCCUUUGGCUGAGGCCUUUUUGGAAACACAGCAUGCACACCUUGGAGAACAGGUGCCUAAGCACUGGUGCUCCUCUCCACCCACUGCUUUCUUCCCACAGGAAGCUCCUGAGCUGCUCAGCCCCUGGCAGAGUCGAGACUUUGGGGCUUGUGUCAGACUGGAGAGCUGCUCUUCCCUGCUUGUGGGAUACUGCCCCAGGAGGGGAUGGAACUCCUGCAUACGGAUCAAUGGCAGGGAUUGGCCCCUGCUCCAGUGUCAGGUCUGACAGGUGCAGUCAGGAGUGACCCAAGGUGUGCCCUGUCCCAGCAGACACAGGACCAGAGGGAAAUGUUCCCUGGCACAGUGGGAAUGCCCCAGGAGGGCUCCUGACCCUUGCCCAGGGGAAAGAGCACAGUCAGUCGACCACCACAUAGGAACAGCACAUCAGAGAGGUUUGGUUGGUUGUGUCAGGAGGAAGUUGCACAGUCAGAUGUAUUUACACUCGACUGGACUUAUCCUCUGACUGUUUUAUUUUCCUCUGGCUGAGCCUGGAAUGUCUGUUUUUCCUGCUCUUUGAGUUUGUGUAUCCAGCUUUCAAAUUGGCUGAUCAGCCUGUUGUACUCGUGAUGGCUUCAGAGGGAGUUUGCUUUGAAUUAGGACCCUUGGAUGAGGAUUGCAGUUUCCUUGAAAAUCCUUUUGCUGGGGGCACCUCAGUGAACACAAAUUGAAAUGAAAAGUGCUGGAAAAAGCAUUUGAUUCCAUCCUAGUAAAACGUAGCUUUUUUAAGUGGUAAAAGGAGCAUUUGUGGCCUUUCUGCACAUGAUGGAUUCUCCAUUUGCAGUCUGUGUUUUCAGAUGUUUCCCCAUGAUAUAGAACAUUGAGUGGUUCUGGUUUUACAGAUGAAUGAAGGAGUUACAAAUGUGGUUUCAUUUUUUUCAAAAGGUAAUUAGUGCUUUAGGAUAUGAACAGUUUUACAGUUGUGCUUUAAAAAAUAAAAAAGUUUCAGAGUUGUUGUUCUACAAGGAUCUUAAUGGUGAUGGCUUUUUUUUUCUCUUGUGUAUUUACAAACCAAGGCAUAAAAUGAACACAAUUUAUUGUCCUAACAGUUCUUAUAUUUAUCACUCAGAUAAGUUCACCCAUUUUAUCACCAUGUCACUGUGUCUUUUUAAUUAAUAUUAGAAAUUGCUUUGUUUAUUCAGAAACUUGUAUUAGAGUUUAAUAAUUUAAUGUAACUGCUCUUAGAAAUUAAUUGUAAAUAUAAAUACAGGGUUUUACAGAUUUGUUAUCUCAGCUAAUUUUAUUUUCUUACAUAAUCUGCUGUUAAAUGGAUUUGCAGCUUUUAGUUGCAAAUGAAAGCCCAAUUAACAGUUCUUUUAGAGUCUGGUUCAGUACUGCAGUGGUAAAAGACUUUGAUCUUAAUUGUUUUUAUUGUUACAUUAUUUUUUUAACAAUUGCAUUUUUCCCUUCCCUCAGAAACAGCAAGUGCAAGGUUUCUUUAGCUUGGGAAAUUCAGCUACAGGGCUUUGACAUUGGUAUGUUUGCACAUUUCUAUCGGUAUAGAUAAAUACUUAAAAUAUGCCAUGUAAAUAUUCAUCCUGCUGUAAAUGCAGUUUCUAACAGGAAAUCCAUUCUCUUGCACAACAGGUAUGGCAUCCUUGCUCUUCCCAGCUUGACUCAAUCCUCAAACCCACCUUGUUCCCUGUACAUUACAGCAGUGGACUCCAAUGGGACAGAGUUUUGUCUUUUCUUAAUUAUUUUACACCAGAUUUUGCUGCUUGUGUAUGUGUGUACAUGGGUGGAUGAGGCUCAACAGAUCCCUCAUCUUUGUCUCAUUUUUCCACUCCAACAAAGAGAACAGUGCUGCACACUUCUCACACAGAUUCAAACGUGAGCUGCUGUUUAAACCUUUAGCACGUUGCUCAUCCUCCUGUGAGCCUCCCUCUGUAGCUGCCUGCUUUUGGGUUGUUUCUUAGCCGUGCUUCAGGCAUACCUGGCAUCGACUGAUUUUCUUCCUCUGCUCCUGUCCUUCUUUAAGUGUCCCUGACAGGGGGGCUGAUGCAAACUGCAACUCAGGCAUCACGGUGGUCAGCCAGAAACUGUAUUCAUUAGCAAAGAACUGACAUGUUCCCCGCUGGCCCUGGCACUCAAUGAAUGGUGCUGAUCUGAAGUCUUCCAGGCAGCUUCCAGGUGACAUAAGGGACUGUCCACCACCCUGGUCACCAGAUCCAGUGUGCUGGAAAGAGCAAAGAGACAACUUGGUAACCGUGUAUGAAAAAUAGGUAAAUUAUGUUCAUCUGUCUUUUUCCCUACUUACUUUUAACUGUACAGUUUUUUGUAAUCUUAAAUUGGACUUAAGAUUCUUUUGCUGGAGAAAAUCUUAAUUUGCUCUGUAAUAAAUUAAUCUCAAAGUCUCACUUUGAGAGUUAAGUGAA